CAGGCCUCACACAUGCAAGUCUAACGGCAGCACGGGUAGCUUGCUCCUGGUGGCUCGUGGCGGACGGGUGUGUUCACGCGUGCGGCAUCUGCCUGGUAGUGGGGGUCCAACUUGGGGAAACUCAAGCUAAUACCGCAUACGCCCUACGGGGGAAAGCGGAGGAUCUUCGGACUUCGCGCUAUCUGAUGAGCCUGCGUAGGAUUAGCUUGUUGGUGGGGUAAAGGCUCACCAAGGCGACUAUCCUUAGCUGGUCUGAUAGGAUGAUCAGCCACACUGGGACUGAGACACGGCCCAUACUCCUACGGGAGGCAGCAGUGGGGAAUAUUGGACAAUGGGCGAAAGCCUGAUCCAGCAAUGCCGCGUGUGUGAAGAAGGCCUGCGGGUUGUAAAGCACUUUCAGUAGCGAGGAAAAGCUGAUGGUUAAUACCCAUUGGUCUUGACGUUAACUACAGAAGAAGCACCGGCUAACUCCGUGCCAGCAGCCGCGGUAAU
rnacentral:rRNA from 1 species